rnacentral:tRNA from 1 species
UCCUUGGUGGUCCAAUGGUUAGGACUCUGCGCUUCCACUGCAGGGGGCAAGGGUUCUAUCCCUGUUCAAGGAA